rnacentral:misc_RNA from 1 species
UACGGAGGGUGCGAGCGUUGUCCGGAAUUAUUGGGUUUAAAGGGUACGUAGGCGGCCUGUUAAGUCAGUGGUGAAAGUCUGUAGCUCAACUAUAGAAGUGCCAUUGAUACUGUCGGGCUUGAGUGCUGCAGAGGUAGGCGGAAUUCCGCAUGUAGCGGUGAAAUGCAUAGAUAUGCGGAGGAACCCCAAAGGUGAAGACAGCUUACUGGAGAGCAACUGACGCUGAGGUACGAAAGCGUGGGGAUCGAACAGG